GUGCCAGCAGCCGCGGUAAUACGGAAGGUCCGGGCGUUAUCCGGAUUUAUUGGGUUUAAAGGGAGCGCAGGCUGAUUGUUAAGCGUGACGUGAAAUGUAGCCGCUCAACGGCUGAACUGCGUCGCGAACUGGCAGUCUUGAGUGAGUACGACGUCAGCGGAAUUCGUGGUGUAGCGGUGAAAUGCUUAGAUAUCACGAAGAACCCCGAUUGCGAAGGCAGCUGACGAGUCCUUUACUGACGCUAAAGCUCGAAGGUGCGGGUAUCGAACAGGAUUAGAUACCCUGGUAGUCCGCACGGUAAACGAUGGAUGCCCGCUGUUGGCGAUACAAUGUCAGCGGCCAAGCGAAAGCGUUAAGCAUCCCACCUGGGGAGUACGCCGGCAACGGUGAAACUCAAAGGAAUUGACGGGGGCCCGCACAAGCGGAGGAACAUGUGGUUUAAUUCGAUGAUACGCGAGGAACCUUACCCGGGCUUGAACUGCACAGGAAGGAUACAGAGAUGUUGACGCCCUUCGGGGCCUGUGUGGAGGUGCUGCAUGGUUGUCGUCAGCUCGUGCCGUGAGGUGUCGGCUUAAGUGCCAUAACGAGCGCAACCCUUUCCGUUAGUUGCCAUCAGGUCAUGCUGGGCACUCUGGCGGUACUGCCACCGUAAGGUGUGAGGAAGGUGGGGAUGACGUCAAAUCAGCACGGCCCUUACGUCCGGGGCUACACACGUGUUACAAUGGGGAGUACAGAGAGUCGAGUGCCGGCAACGUCACUCCAAUCCUUAAAGCUCUCCUCAGUUCGGAUUGGGGUCUGCAACCCGACCCCAUGAAGCUGGAUUCGCUAGUAAUCGCGCAUCAGCCAUGGCGCGGUGAAUACGUUCCCGGGCCUUGUACACACCGCCCGU
rnacentral:rRNA from 1 species